GGGUUGUGAGGUUAAGCGACUAAGCGUACACGGUGGAUGCCCUGGCAGUCAGAGGCGAUGAAGGACGUGCUAAUCUGCGAUAAGCGCCGGUAAGGUGAUAUGAACCGUUAUAACCGGCGAUUUCCGAAUGGGGAAACCCAGUGUGAUUCGUCACACUAUCAUUAACUGAAUCCAUAGGUUAAUGAGGCGAACCGGGGGAACUGAAACAUCUAAGUACCCCGAGGAAAAGAAAUCAACCGAGAUUCCCCCAGUAGCGGCGAGCGAACGGGGAGGAGCCCAGAGCCUGAAUCAGCAUGUGUGUUAGUGGAAGCGUCUGGAAAGGCGCGCGAUACAGGGUGACAGCCCCGUACACAAAAGCGCAUGUGCUGUGAGCUCGAUGAGUAGGGCGGGACACGUGGUAUCCUGUCUGAAUAUGGGGGGACCAUCCUCCAAGGCUAAAUACUCCUGACUGACCGAUAGUGAACCAGUACCGUGAGGGAAAGGCGAAAAGAACCCCGGCGAGGGGAGUGAAAAAGAACCUGAAACCGUGUACGUACAAGCAGUGGGAGCACCCUUCGGGGUGUGACUGCGUACCUUUUGUAUAAUGGGUCAGCGACUUAUAUUCUGUAGCAAGGUUAACCGUAUAGGGGAGCCGGAGGGAAACCGAGUCUUAAUUGGGCGUUAAGUUGCAGGGUAUAGACCCGAAACCCGGUGAUCUAGCCAUGGGCAGGUUGAAGGUUGGGUAACACUAACUGGAGGACCGAACCGACUAAUGUUGAAAAAUUAGCGGAUGACCUGUGGCUGGGGGUGAAAGGCCAAUCAAACCGGGAGAUAGCUGGUUCUCCCCGAAAGCUAUUUAGGUAGCGCCUCGUGAAUUCAUCUCCGGGGGUAGAGCACUGUUUCGGCUAGGGGGCCAUCCCGGCUUACCAACCCGAUGCAAACUGCGAAUACCGGAGAAUGUUAUCACGGGAGACACACGGCGGGUGCUAACGUCCGUCGUGAAGAGGGAAACAACCCAGACCGCCAGCUAAGGUCCCAAAGUCAUGGUUAAGUGGGAAACGAUGUGGGAAGGCCCAGACAGCCAGGAUGUUGGCUUAGAAGCAGCCAUCAUUUAAAGAAAGCGUAAUAGCUCACUGGUCGAGUCGGCCUGCGCGGAAGAUGUAACGGGGCUAAACCAUGCACCGAAGCUGCGGCAGCGACGCUGAUGCGUG
rnacentral:rRNA from 1 species